rnacentral:misc_RNA from 1 species
AAGUCGUAACAAGGUUUCCGUAGGUGAACCUGCGGAAGGAUCAUUAUUGAUUUUAAAGAUGUGCUGGCUUUUUGGCAUGUGCACUCUUAACAAAACCAAUCCACCUGUGCACACUUUGUAGGCAAAGGAAUUUGCCUAUGUUCUUUUUACAAACAACCAUUGAUUUAUUUGAAUGUCUUUGAAUAACCAAUGUAAAACAACUUUCAACAAUGGAUCUCUUGGUUCUC